UCCCGACUCGCACUUUCUGGAAACGAGGGAGGUCGAGUUCGGCUGGAUCGGUGACAGGUGCUACAUGGCUGUCGUCAGCUCGUGUCGUGAGAUGUUGGGUUAAGUCCCGCAACGAGCGCAACCCUCGUCCUUAGUUGCCAGCAUUCAGUUGGGCACUCUAAGGAGACUGCCGGUGUUAAACCGGAGGAAGGCGGGGAUGACGUCAAGUCCUCAUGGCCCUUAUGUCCAGGGCUACACACGUGCUACAAUGGCCGGUACAAAGGGUAGCAAGACCGCGAGGUGGAGCCAAUCCCAAAAAGCCGGUCUCAGUUCGGAUUGGAGUCUGCAACUCGACUCCAUGAAGUUGGAAUCGCUAGUAAUCGUGGAUCAGCAUGCCACGGUGAAUACGUUCCCGGGCCUU
rnacentral:rRNA from 1 species